AUUGAACGCUAGCGGGAUGCUUUACACAUGCAAGUCGAACGGAGUGGCGGACGGGUGAGUAAUAUCUCGGAACCUGCCUAGUAGCGGGGGCUAACUACUCGAAACAGUGGCUACUACCGCAUACCAUUGGCUCGGCCGAUAUCGGAUUAGCUAGUUGGUGGGGUACAGGCUCACCAAGGCAACGAUCCCUAGCUGGUUUGAGAGGACGACCAGCCACACUGUGACGGAGACACGGCCCAGACUCCUACGGGAGGCAGCAGUGGGGAAUUUUGGACAAUGGGGGAAAGCCUGAUCCAGCCAUCCCGCGUGUAGGAUGAAGGCCUUCGGGUUGUAAAGUACUUUUAGCAGGGAAGCGGUAUCUGCAGAAUAAGCACCGGCUAACUACGUGCCAGCAGCCGCGGUAAUAC
rnacentral:rRNA from 1 species